CAGCUGAUACUGAGAAGAAUCGAAUGUUCGGAAAGGACCUCAAUCCACCUGCUGUCAGAAACUCUGCAUUAUCUGACAGCCUCCUGACUGAUCCAAGCUGCGUUGUUCACGUGUCAAGUUGCUAAUCGCUAUGAGUAAGAAAAAGGUUUUGGAAGAACUGGAGGGCUGCUGGUGAUAGAGCUGUGGCUGGAACUACAGUCCCAGGAAGCUGCAGGGGAGAUUCGUCGGGAAAAGAUUUUCCUCAUUCCAGAAAGACAUAUGACUACUAGACUUGCAUGUGAAGUCUUCAAAGAGAUUACUCUUAAAAAUAAAGGCAGGAGAUCAUAGGCCAAGUAUUUUGAAAAUCCAGGUGAGUGACUAGGUAUCUGAGGGUAAAAGUAAAAAAGCAUAGUUUCAGGCAUUUAUUCUCACAACAGCUAUGUCCUGCAAUGAGAUUUUUUUGGGUUUUGUUUUCUGUAAGUAUGUGUUUUCUAAUGUUGAUCAACAAGUAGAUUCCUGUUUUAUCCUGUUUGAAUUCAGAAAGGUCAUACGUAGGGUAAAAUUAAGAUGCCACUACCUGCUUAUCCUUUUAAUGUGUUUAAAGUAUCCAUAUGUAAAAAGCAAAAAUCUCCUCUAUGUACUGACAAUACAUUUGGGUUAAUGUAUUCACAUCUUAUCUUGUAGCCAGAUUGGCUGUUUUAAAUGAUUAAAUGUUAAAUCUGAUAUUUACUCUUGGGCUGUGCAAAAGUCAAAGGGAACAAUUUGUCAGCUCAUUCCUAUUUUGCUUCUGAAGCCAGUUAACUAAUCAGUCUAACAGAACAAGAAGUAAGAUAAAUGGAGGCCAUUCUGUUAUGUAGAAAAGUGUACAUGAAGAUAAAUUUUUCACAUUUUGCUUCAUUUCAUCUGCAGUUAUCACUGUCAUAAUUGCUUCUGAACACUCAAGGUGCUCUUCAUAUUGCUUCUAUGAUAUGAAUGGUUUAAGCUAUUUAGGUAGUAGCUUGCACCACUAAAAUUGUCUUUAUUCUUUAUUUCUAUAUUGUAUUUUAGUAAAAAAAAAAAAUCCUCAGCCUUUUUACAGCAAAAUGAAUUUCCUAAACAAACAAUAAAGGGUCAAGAGAUAUGCAAACUAACAGCUUCUGCUGCAAACAAGCUGCAAUAAAAGAAAUCCUGGGCAAAUAAAAUCUUGCUACCAUUGGUAAUAUAGUUCCCAUUAUUUGUAUCAAAUAAUAAUAGUAUUAAAAAGUGAUAAUCUAUGUUCAAACA